rnacentral:lncRNA from 1 species
CUGUACUUGCCGAGAACUUCUCCAACAGCUAGCUGCUAUUUUUAUGCAGCCACAAGGAACUGAUUUAUCUGUCAGUGCAGGAGAAUGUGCUUUGCAAAGCGACUUUGUAGGAGGUGAAGAAGGAAGAGAUGAAGGUGAAGAUGGAAUACAUUGAAAAGAUGGACAAAUGAACAAGAAAUUGAUGUGUGUGGUACAAAGAACAUGAAAAUUUACCUUACAAGAAGGGUAUUUUAUGCACGGAUUACCAGCUGUGCUCUAAUACAUAUGGCUGAUACAAGAUACUGUUAAGGUUUGGACAACACAAUCCUUUAAUGGGGAUAAAAAAUUCUUUCCUUUACGUCACUAUGAAGUCUAAGUAGAUCAGAAACAGGCCUAGGUCAGGAUCUGUUAGUACUGUUGAAUACUUCUAAAGCAGUAUCAGGUUAAUUUUAUGCUGAUGAUAUUUCUAAAUUAAAGUUUUGGGUUGGUGACUUUUAAAUGAAAGAAGAAAAUAUGUAUGAAUGAAGAAAAACAUCUAUUUGGUUUGCUGAGGACCUGCUGAUCAGUGGGUUGCUGAUGUGGAUUGACUGGGGUUAGAAAGUGAAGUAGAGCCGAUAGAGCUUUGGCAGCAAGUAUGUGUGCAAUACAAAACAGAAGCAGAGGGAACUCAUGACUUUAUUUUUCAGGAUCUUGCAACAGCAUGGGAGUAGUGGCAACACUGACAUGGCCAGGGCACCAGUAUCUAUCUGAAGAGAGAAGAACAAGACAGGGGACACAGAAUCUGAUGAAGUCCUGUCAUUGUGCUGUGCUUGCCUGGCAUGGCCGGAACUGGUGUACUUCAGACACCACACACCUGGGACGAGUACAUGGGCUAUGGCAGCUGCUCUCUAACAGGCAGAGCUUCCUACUGAAAUCAAUGGAAGGUUUGCUUAAAAAUCAAUUGGAAGGUUUGGCCCUGAAACAUAAGACAAUGGGGGCUCCUCAAUCAUAUCAAGAGAAGUGAUUAAGAUACCACAAACAAACUGCUAAUCCACACAUAAAGGAACAUGUGCUACUCUAAAAGCAACCAUCUCUACCAGUGUGUAACUCUGUUUAACUUUGGUGGGAGCUUUGCCUGGAAAAGUGCAGUAGAAUCAAGUACUAAAUGUGAAGCAAUGUCAUCGGAAUUAUUAAUCAAACAUUUGUUGCUGAACUAAGGUCACUUACCAAGAGCAGAUUGGUCUUUAAAUAAACUACACAGGCAACAUCGCUGAUUUCUUGGU